rnacentral:rRNA from 1 species
UGAUCGGCCACACUGGGACUGAGACACGGCCCAGACUCCUACGGGAGGCAGCAGUAGGGAAUCUUCCGCAAUGGACGAAAGUCUGACGGAGCAACGCCGCGUGAGUGAUGAAGGUUUUCGGAUCGUAAAGCUCUGUUGUUAGGGAAGAACAAGUGCCGUUCGAAUAGGGCGGCACCUUGACGGUACCUAACCAGAAAGCCACGGCUAACUACGUGCCAGCAGCCGCGGUAAUACGUAAGUGGCAAGCGUUGUCCGGAAUUAUUGGGCGUAAAGGGCUCGCAGGCGGUUUCUUAAGUCUGAUGUGAAAGCCCCCGGCUCAACCGGGGAGGGUCAUUGGAAACUGGGGAACUUGAGUGCAGAAGAGGAGAGUGGAAUUCCACGUGUAGCGGUGAAAUGCGUAGAGAUGUGGAGGAACACCAGUGGCGAAGGCGACUCUCUGGUCUGUAACUGACGCUGAGGAGCGAAAGCGUGGGGAGCGAACAGGAUUAGAUACCUGGUAGUCCACGCCGUAAACGAUGAGUGCUAAGUGUUAGGGGGUUCCGCCCUUAGUGCUGCAGCUACGCAUUAACACUCCGCCUGGGGAGUACGGUCGCAGACUGAACUCAAAGAAUUGACGGGGCCCGCACAGCGGUGGAGCUGUGGUUUAUUCGAAGCACGCGAAAACCUUACAGGUCUUGACAUCUCUGACAUCCUAGAAUAGGACUCCUCUUCGGGGCAAAUGACAGGGGGGCAUGUUGUCGCCACUCGUGUCGGAGAUGUGGGUUAAGUCCCCCACGAGCCCAC